rnacentral:rRNA from 1 species
UACGUAGGGGGCAAGCGUUGUCCGGAUUUAUUGGGCGUAAAGAGCGUGUAGGCGGCCACACAGGUCAGCUGUGAAAACUCGAGGCUCAACCUCGAGACGUCGGUUGAAACCGUAUGGCUAGAGUCCGGAAGAGGAGUGUGGAAUUCCCGGUGUAGCGGUGAAAUGCGCAGAUAUCGGGAAGAACACCCGUGGCGAAGGCGGCACUCUGGGACGGUACUGACGCUGAGGAGCUAAAGCGUGGGGAGCGAACAGG